GAUGAACGCUAGCUACAGGCUUAACACAUGCAAGUCGAGGGGAAACGGCAUCUCAAGCUUGCUUUUGAUGGGCGUCGACCGGCGCACGGGUGAGUAACGCGUAUCCAACCUGCCCACCACUUGGGGAUAACCUUGCGAAAGUAAGACUAAUACCCAAUGAUAUCCCACGAAGACAUCUGAAUGGGAUUAAAGAUUUAUCGGUGAUGGAUGGGGAUGCGUCUGAUUAGCUUGUUGGCGGGGUAACGGCCCACCAAGGCAACGAUCAGUAGGGGUUCUGAGAGGAAGGUCCCCCACAUUGGAACUGAGACACGGUCCAAACUCCUACGGGAGGCAGCAGUGAGGAAUAUUGGUCAAUGGGCGAGAGCCUGAACCAGCCAAGUAGCGUGCAGGAAGACGGCCCUAUGGGUUGUAAACUGCUUUUAUAAGGGAAUAAAGUGGGUCACGUGUGACUUUUUGCAUGUACCUUAUGAAUAAGGACCGGCUAAUUCCGUG
rnacentral:rRNA from 1 species